rnacentral:rRNA from 1 species
GACGAACGCUGGCGGCGUGCUUAACACAUGCAAGUCGAGCGGUAAGGCCCUUUUGGGGGUACACGAGCGGCGAACGGGUGAGUAACACGUGGGUGACCUGCCUUCAGCUUCGGGAUAAGCUUGGGAAACUGGGUCUAAUACCGGAUAUGACUUGGCCUCGCAUGGGGUUGGGUGGAAAGUUUUUUCGGCUGGAGAUGGGCCCGCGGCCUAUCAGCUUGUUGGUGGGGUGAUGGCCUACCAAGGCGACGACGGGUAGCCGGCCUCAGAGGGCGACCGGCCACACUGGGGCUGAGAUACGGCCCAGACUCCUACGGGAGGCAGCAGUGGGAAUCUUGCGCAAUGGGCGGAAGCCUGACGCAGCGACGCCGCGUGGGGAUGAC